CUGCUCAGUAACACGUGGAUAACCUGCCCUUAGGAUUGGCAUAACACCGGGAAACUGGUGAUAAUACCGAAUAGACCAUCUAUGCUGGAAUGCUUAAUGGUUCAAAGGCUUUUAGCUGCCUAAGGAUGGAUCUGCGGCCUAUCAAGUAGUAGUGGGUGUAAUGUACCUACUAGCCUACGACGGGUACGGGUUGUGAGAGCAAGAGCCCGGAGAUGGAUUCUGAGACAUGAAUCCAGGCCCUACGGGGCGCAGCAGGCGCGAAAACUUUACAAUGCGGGAAACCGCGAUAAGGGGACACUGAGUGCCAGCAUAUUAUGAUGGCUGUCCACAUGUAUAAAAACCAUGUGUUAGCAAGGGCCGGGCAAGACCGGUGCCAGCCGCCGCGGUAACACCGGCGGCCCGAGUGGUGAUCACUUUUAUUGGGUCUAAAGGGUCCGUAGCCGGUUUGAUCAGUCCUCCGGGAAAUCUGACAGCUCAACUGUUAGGCUUCCGGGGGAUACUGUCAGACUUGGGACCGGGAGAGGUAAGAGGUACUACAGGGGUAGGAGUGAAAUCUUGUAAUCCCUGUGGGACCACCAGUGGCGAAGGCGUCUUACCAGAACGGGUCCGACGGUGAGGGACGAAAGCUGGGGGCACGAACCGGAUUAGAUACCCGGGUAGUCCCAGCCGUAACGAUGCUCGCUAGGUGUCAGGGACGGUGCGACCGUUUCUGGUGCCGCAGG
rnacentral:rRNA from 1 species